rnacentral:rRNA from 1 species
AAUGAACGUUGGCGGCGUGGAUUAGGCAUGCAAGUCGAGCGAGAAUUUGCGAUUGGAAGCUUCGGCCGAAGAAAGUGAAGGAAGCGGCAAACGGCGUAGUAAGGCGUAGGUACGUACCCUCGGGUCGGGAAUAGCCAUGGGAAACUGUGGGUAAUGCCCGAUAAUCUCUGCGGAGCAAAGGUGUGAUUCCGCCGGAGGAGCGGCUUACGUGAUAUUAGCUAGUUGGUGGGGUAAUGGCCUACCAAGGCAACGAUGUCUAGGGGGUGUGAGAGCAUGGCCCCCACGACCGGAACUGAGACACUGUCCGGACACCUACGGGUGGCUGCAGUCGAGAAUCUUCCGCAAUGGGCGAAAGCCUGACGGAGCGACGCCGCGUGGUGGAUGAAGGCCCUUGGGUUGUAAACACCUGUCAGAGGGGAUGAAAUCAUGGUUGGCAAUCCUUCCAUGUUGACAGAGCCUCAGAGGAAGCACGGGCUAAGUACGUGCCAGCAGCCGU